CUUUGUCGUAAAGUCUGUACAAGACAAUACUAGAUUCAAUCUGCCUGAACUGAUUGAAUGCGAUAACAUUCCCAAUAAUCGGAACGAAAUUGCUACAACUAAGGAUAUAUUGCAAUAUCAACACUUGCAAGAACUACAAAAAAAUAUUCUUCCGAUUGAUGGAAAAUGCAAAAUCCUAUUGCUCAUUGGAAGAGACCUAAUAGAGGCACAUCACGUCCUUGAUCAACGUCUAGGACCACCAAAGACUCCAUUUGCGCAAAAGUUAAACCUGGGUUGGAUUAUCGUUGGUGAAAUACGCUCCGAUAAGCAACAUGUUCACCUUGAACUCACUACAAAGGAAACAAAUCCAGCUUGCAGUGUUGUGAAACCACAUACAAAGAAAUUACCUGAGUGUAAUAAAACCAACACCCAGUCAAAUGGAAUUCGAACAGAUUCGUUUAAACAAUAUCCCCGUUUACAUGGGCAACCAAAAACGAAAUCAGCGACUUCGAUCGUCAAAUUUGCAGAAGACGAAAAGUUCAUUUCGGAAGCAACAUCACUAAAAGUGAAUGCCGACAAAGAAAAGUACAUCCGAAAAGAUUCAAUUCCCAAGGAAAGCUUCAAUUUGCCUUUGGAUACGCAAGGACAAGAGGAAAGUAGAAUAGACAAUUCGGACUUAAGUCACAGAGAAAAGGAACAUGGCACCGGCUGGUCUACUGUAUGCCGUAAACGUAAAGGGAAGCGUCCGUUUUGCAAGACAUCCCCGUUGGAUCGCAUAUCUGUGUCGAAAGGAGAUUCAUCCAUCAGAACUACAGCCAUGGAAUUGGAUCUUAGAUCGCCGCGAUCUCGUCGGAAACACCACCUUAUCUAGGAAAGAAGCUGUGAAAUACCCAGCCUCCCGUUGGAUUACUUUCAAGUUCAUAUAAGUGGAACCUUGGACGGCUGUUAUAUAUUUAGCAUUUUAUUUGUUUUAAUAAUGGAAUAGUGAUGUCAGAUAGACCUCAGACGGGGAGUGUUCUGGACCUCAUUCAUCAUUUGUUCUUCAUGUGAUCAUCAUUUUACAUUGUUUAUGUUUCAUUGCGUACAUCACUUUAUAUGCUCCAGUUUUAGGAGUUUUAUACAGGACAGUGUAGGAACCCAUGUUACUUUCCCCUCUCUUCUGAGUGACGAAAACUGCUCAGCAGGCCGUGUGCACAACUGCAAGGAACAUUCAGCGGACACGUUGUCCAAAGGAACAAUUCGUGGCUAACCACAGCUUUUUCACCAUUUGGAUUGGUAGUGAAAUAAAAGUCAGCUCCUGAUUGUUUUAUCUUUACAUAAACCCAGUCAUCUUGGUUAAACUCGCUGGUCCGGCCAGUACAGUGACAUAAUUAUGCAUAUUAAUGAGGCCUGUUAUGAUAAUAUCGUAAUAAAAAUAUGUCGAUGUUUAUCUUAUUUCAUGAUCCGUUCAUUUUAUUAACAUUACAUGUUCAAUCAGUGUUCAAAUCGCUCGAAAUUUUGAACACCUCGUGUUAAAAAAAAUAUACCAGGAUACCAAAUACCGGAAACAGAUAUCGGCUGGGGAUUUAGGCGGUUAAACGAAGAAUGGAUACACAUAAGAAAGAGAACUGGAGAAGGGACUUCUAUCCCAUAUGAACACGAAAGAAGUAACAAGAAUCGUUAGAUUAAAAUGUUUGAAUUAGGAACCGGUAGCCAAUAAUCCCAAAAAGGUCAUUUCUGCAUGCUAUAAAGUGGUGGAAAAAAGAAAGAUGUCGAAAAAAGGAUAUAUAGGCUCAUAGACAUUCCUUGUUGUGGAGGAUUUUGACAUUGGAAGUUGAUAACAACACAUAAAAUGCCACCCAGUUGAUAGCUUUAAGUGAAGAUGCACUGAAAAGUGGAGCGUACAUUGUAUUUGAUCGUACAAGAACUGUUGGAAUUUGCAAACUUUUAAACUUUCAUUGUGACAAAUACCUAUAUCAUAAACUAUCUAAUUAUCACAUUGACAUGCUUUUUUGGUUAGGUUACAAAUGAUGUUGCAACUAUCUAGUCAUAUAGGGGAAAAUCAUUAUUUGUGAUAUAUAUUUAAGUCAGUUUAAAAACAUUAUGUAUGUGAUUUCACUGACUGUUACUUGUGAUAUCAAAAGGUAUCUGGUGUACUUUUCUUACAUACACUAUGCUCAUUUGAUUACAUAAAGAAUUACUUGUUAAAAUAUGUUUUAUUGUUAUAUUUUGCCUGAUUGAAUAUAGUUUUUAUAACAGUUUAUUUAAGUUGAGUACUUAUGGAAAAUUAUGUACGCUUGAAAAUAGAACAUGUUCCACAUUUGAACACCAUCACUUUGAACACUUAUGUCAACUGUUCUGAAAGUUAACGUCUGGUGUUCUGAAUCUUAACACUUUGGCUUUAAACAUGUUCUAUGUGUUCAAAAAGUGUUACAUGGCUGUUGAACACGUCGACGUAUUAAGAUUUUGAACAUUCGGACACGUUAAAUCGUUGAACACUAAGUGUUAAGAACUCUAACAUCAAGUGUUCAAAAAUGAAACACAAAGGCAUUAAAAACUGAACACCACACAUUCAAUUGAUGAACACUAGUGUAAACAUUUGGAACACCAUUACACGUUCAAAAAGUGUUACAAAAAAGCGUUCAAGCUGUGUUCUAUUUAUUAACACUUAGAUUUACAGUGUAGUAGAUACACUAAAUGUUUUUUAAAAUACAACUGGCAUAUAAGGAUCGUAAAGAUGCUAUGUGUAUAAAUUUAUUGGUUUUCAAAAGCUAAAUUGACAGCGUGUCAUUCCUAAAAUGGUUUCAAUUUAUACGACUGAAAACAUUGGUGGCGUAAUGGGGAGAUAAUUUUAACGAAGUAGGAUCCUGACUAUUAUAAUAUCUGAGAAAAGGAUUUAAUCACCAGAAAACUUAAUGAUUUGUCUUACUUACUACUCAUAGAAUAACUGAAAAAAAAUAACAUGAUAAACAAGAGUGCACACGCUGAAAUGUCUCGCCUUCUUUACUAAUCACUGAUAUUAUGUUGAUAGUCCUGAAUAUAAAGCUUUAUUACAACUGUCACAUAAACUUAACAUUAACCAAGAAAACUAAACAUUGACCAAUGAACCAUGAAAAUGAGGUCAAGUUCAGAUGAACCAUGCCAGGCAAGCAUGUACAGCUAACAAUUCUUCCAUACAACAAAUAUAGUUGACCUAUUGCUUAUAGUUUAAGAAAAACAGACCAAAACACAAAAACUUAACACUGAGCAAUGAACUGUGAAAAUGAGGUCAAGGUCAAAUAAAACCUGCGCGACUGACAUAUGGAUCAUAAAAUAUUUCCAUACACCAAAUAUAGUUGACCUAUUGCAUAUAGUAUUAGAAAAAAAGAACAAAACUCAAAAUCUUAACUUUGACCACUGAACCAUGAAAAUGAGGUCAAGGUCAAAUGACACCUGCCAGCAAGACAUGUACACCUUACAAUCAUUCCAUACACCAAAUAUAGUAGACCUAUCGCAUACAGUAUACGAAAAAAUUACCAAAACACAAAAACUUAACUAUAACCACUGAACCAUGAAAAUGAGGUCAAGGGCAGAUGACACCUACCAGUUGGACAUGUACACCUUACAGUCCUUCCAUACACCGAAUAUACUUGACCUAUUGCUUAUAGUAUCUGAGAUAUGGACUUGACCACCAAAACUUAUCCUUGUUCACUGAUCCAUGAAAUGAGGUCGAGGUCAAGUGAAAUCUGUCUGACGGACAAGAGGACCUUGCAAGGUACGCACAUACCAAACAUAGUUAUCCUACUACUUAUAAUAAGAGAAAAUUUAACAUUACAAAAAAUGUUAACUAUUUUUUCAAGUAGUCACUGAACCAUGAAAAUGAGGUCAAGGACAUUGGACAUGUGACUGACGAAAACUUCGUAACAUGAGGCAUGCAUAUACAAAGUAUGAAGCAUCCAGGUCUUCCACCUUCUAAAAUAUAUAGCUUUUAAGGA